CGCAUCUGUGCAUGCAGCAUAUCAAUAAGCGGAGGAAAAGAAACUAACAAGGAUUCCCCUAGUAACGGCGAGUGAAGCGGGAAGAGCUCAAAUUUGAAAUCUUAAAGGGUUUCCCUUUACGAAUUGUAGUUUAAAGAAGUGUUUUCUGUUGAGGUUUUGGUAAAAGUUCUUUGGAAUAGGACAUCAUAGAGGGUGAGAAUCCCGUAUUUGACCUUUACUUUCAACUUUGUGAUACACUUUCAAAGAGUCGGAUUGUUUGGGAAUGCAGUCCAAAAUGGGUGGUAAAUUUCAUCUAAAGCUAAAUAUUGGCGAGAGACCGAUAGCGAACAAGUACCGUGAGGGAAAGAUGAAAAGAACUUUGAAAAGAGGGUUAAACAGUACGUGAAAUUGUCAAAAGGGAAGCGUUUGACACCAGUGUUGUUUUUCUGAAAAUCAAUUAAAGAACUGUUUAUGCUAAGUUGUUUAGACUUUAUCAGCUAACUGUUUAGUUUUGAGCUUUUCUUUAAUGCACUUUUCAGUUAACAAGUCAACAUCAAUUUCUUUUGCUGUAAAAAAGCUUGAGGAAGGUGGCUUGAGAUUCGUCUUAAGUGUUUAUAGCCUCUUGCCUAUGCAGUCGGAGAGAUUGAGGUCUGCAGCGUAGAUCCUUCGGGGCUAAAUGCAUUUGUGCUAAGUUAUAGCAUUUUAUAGACAACUUGUUGACUAUGAUUUGUCUUGUAGCUUACUCGCUUAUGUUAUUUUACCUACGCUUAGGAUGUUGAACGCGCACAGAGUCUC
rnacentral:rRNA from 1 species